GGGGGUGAAAGGAUUCGACGGUGGGCGAAAGCGUGGUUGCUUUCAAUUUCCAUCGGAAGUGGGUUCAAUUCCCACCACCUCCAUCU
rnacentral:tmRNA from 1 species